AUUUAUGUUUCUUUCCCUCCAGGCUCGUUUCCUCCUCUCCAAAGUGAAUCCUUCUCAGACUCACAACAACAUGUAUGCAUGGGGUCAGGAGUCUGGCGCACCCAUUCUGACAGACGACGUGAGUCUUCAGGUGUUUAUGGAUCAUCUGAAAAAGCUGGCAGUUUCCAGCGCUGCCUAAGAGCCUUCAAUCGUCAAUCUUUUUGUCAGUAACACACAGCCAGCAGGAUUACAUUGGCACUGCUCUCAGUUUAUUUCCCAUCUUCCAAAUAUGGAGCCCAGACCUUUAAAAAGUCAUUCGUGAAUGGAAGUUUCAUUCUUUAAUAUUUAAUUGCGACAAAAAAUGGCAAACACCGCAUCCUCAUAACACUACAUGUUGAGUAUGAAACAGAAACAAAUAUAUUGUCCUGAUGUAAUCAGAAUGAAUUUAUCUACUUAAGUGAGUGAAGUGGCUACACAGUUUUAAUUCACUCAUUCUUUACUCAAUCUCAUGCCAUUCCAAACCCAUAUGCUGCCUUUUUUUUUGUCAUGGGACUUUUUUUGAAGCCAUAUGAUAACUUUCUAGUUGUCUAGUCAGCAUUUCCCUUAAAUUCACAGUCUAGUAUUUUCCUCCAAAAUUAAAAAAAAAUGGUAUGUUGCUUACUACACAAACAAAAAACAAUGCCGUUUUUGGUUGAUGGCUUUUUUUGCACCAUUUUUGCAAACUAGACAUGAAAUAUCUGUUUGGUCUAUCGUACGGCUUCAGAAAACCUGGAAUGAGUCAUAUCGAUUAUUUGAUUGUUUUUCUUGUGGCAGAAAUGACAGCGAUACUUUAAAUGGAGAGAAAAAAUAACAACAGCAUACGGGUUUGGAACAACAUGAGGGUGAGUAAAUAAUGAUGGGAUGUACAUUUUUUGACUGAACUCUGAUGUUUACAUGUGUGAAGCUCUGUGAUGAGACCUUUUGUUGAACGGAGGGAGUGAAUCUAGCUCUUUUUAGCACACCUGCUUCAGAUACUUUUGUUUUCCUAGUCAUGGAAGGUAAAAGCUGUGCCAAUGUAGCCAAUUAAACAUGAGAGCUUGAACGCCGCCUCUAGCCAGCAGCGCAGAACAAUGGCUUAUUUUUAGAACCUGUGCGCGUCUCUCGUCUCGUUGCUAUUGAUGGUUUGUGUUUCACCACAAGGUUGAGUGGCCCGUUCCAAACACAGACUUGCGGAAUUUAUAAGCUGCCUUUCUGUCUGUCGCUCUGAUAUUUAUGAGCCAAUUCUAGCAGUAUUGUAUGUUUUGUUUCUAAUAAAACCAGCUUCAUGAUCCCA